rnacentral:rRNA from 1 species
GAUGAACGCUGGCGGCGUGCCUAACACAUGCAAGUCGAGCGAACAGACGAGGAGCUUGCUCCUUUGACGUUAGCGGCGGACGGGUGAGUAACAAGUGCAUAACCUACUUAUAUGUCUGGGAUAACUUCGGGAAACAGGAGAUAAUACUGCAUAAUACGUUGAACCGCAUGGAUCAACAGUGAAAGACGGUCUUGCCGUCACUUAUAGAUGGAUCCGCGCCGCAUUAGCUAGUUGGUAAGGUAACGCCUUACCAAGGGACCGAUGCGUAGCCGACCUGAGAAGGUGAACGGGCACACUGGAACCUGAGCACGGGCCAAACUCCUAAGGGAGGGAGCAGGAGGGAAACUUCCGCAAAGGGCGGAAGCCUGACGGAACAACGCCCGGGGAGGGAAAAAAGUCUUCUGAUCGGAAAACUCUUUUAGUAGGGAAAAACAAGUGUGAAGGUAACUAUGCGCGGCUCUGCGGUACCUAAACGGAAAGGCACGGCUAACUUCGGU